CUACGGGACGCACCAGUGAGGAAUAUUGCACAAUGGGGGGAACCCUGAUGCAGCAACGCCGCGUGGAGGAUGACGCAUUUCGGUGUGUAAACUCCUUUUAUAUGUCAAGAAAAUGACGGUAGCGUAUGAAUAAGCACCGGCUAACUCCGUGCCAGCAGCCGCGGUAAUACGGAGGGUGCAAGCGUUACUCGGAAUCACUGGGCGUAAAGGACGCGUAGGCGGGUUGGAAAGUCAGGUGUGAAAUCCUACAGCUUAACUGUAGAACUGCACUUGAAACUUCUAAUCUAGAGUAUGGGAGGGGAGAUGGAAUUAGUGGUGUAGGGGUAAAAUCCGUAGAUAUCACUAGGAAUACCUAAAGCGAAGGCGAUCUCCUGGAACAUUACUGACGCUAAGGCGUGAAAGCGUGGGGAGCAAACAGGAUUAGAUACCCUCGUAGUC
rnacentral:rRNA from 1 species